GAUGAAGAACGUAGCGAAAUGCGAUAAGUAGUGUGAAUUGCAGAAUUCAGUGAAUCAUCGAAUCUUUGAACGCACAUUGCGCCCCUCGGUAUUCCGUGGGGCAUGCCUGUUCGAGCGUCAUUUAACCCCUCAAGCCUAGCUUGGUAUUGGGUGCUUGUCCCGCCUCUCGCGCGGCGACUCACCUCAAAGUCAUUGGCAGCCCGCAUCUCGCCGGCCGUGAGCGCAGCACAGACGCGCUCUUGGCAACGACGGAUCGGCUCUCUAAAAGCUUAUUUCAACCACUGACCUCGGAUCAGGUAGGGAUACCCGCUGAACUUAAGCAUAUCAAUAAGCGGAGGA
rnacentral:misc_RNA from 1 species